UACGGAGGGUGCAAGCGUUAUCCGGAUUCACUGGGUUUAAAGGGUGCGUAGGCGGGUUGGUAAGUCCGUGGUGAAAUCCUGGAGCUCAACUCCAGAACUGCCUUUGAUACUGAAGAUCUUGAGUUCGGGAGAGGUGAGUGGAACUGCGAGUGUAGAGGUGAAAUGCGCAGAUAUCAGGAGGAACACCGGUGGCGAAGGCGGGUCUCUGGGCCGAUACUGACGCUGAGGAGCGAAAGCGUGGGGAGCGAACAGG
rnacentral:rRNA from 1 species